GACGAACGCUGGCGGCGUGCUUAACACAUGCAAGUCGAGCGGUAAGGCCCUUUCGGGGGUACACGAGCGGCGAACGGGUGAGUAACACGUGGGUGACCUGCCCUCAGCUCUGGGAUAAGCCUGGGAAACCGGGUCUAAUACUGGAUAUGACUCCAUGACGCAUGUUGUGGGGUGGAAAGCCUUGUGCGGCUGAGGAUGGGCCCGCGGCCUAUCAGCUUGUUGGUGGGGUGAUGGCCUACCAAGGCGACGACGGGUAGCCGGCCUGAGAGGGCGACCGGCCACACUGGGACUGAGACACGGCCCAGACUCCUACGGGAGGCAGCAGUGGGGAAUUUUUCGCAAUGGGGGCAACCCUGACGAAGCAACGCCGCGUGGGGAUGAAGGUCUUCGGAUCGUAAACCCCUGUCGACCGGGACGAAGCACCCGACCUAACACGUCGGUGUGUUGACUGUACCGGUGGAGGAAGCCACGGCUAACUCUGUGCCAGC
rnacentral:rRNA from 1 species